rnacentral:rRNA from 1 species
AUGAACGCUGGCGGCGUGCCUAACACAUGCAAGUCGAGCGAGAAGCUUUUGAACAAAUCUUCGGAAGAGUGAUAAAGCGGAAAGCGGCGGACGGGUGAGUAACGCGUAGGCAACCUGCCCCAUACAGAGGGAUAGCCUCGGGAAACCGGGAUUAAAACCUCAUAAUACGAAAGAUUCACAUGUUUCUUUCGUCAAAGAUUUAUCGGUAUGGGAUGGGCCUGCGUCUGAUUAGCUAGUUGGUGGGGUAACGGCCUACCAAGGCAACGAUCAGUAGCCGACCUGAGAGGGUAAUCGGCCACAUUGGAACUGAGACACGGUCCAAACUCCUACGGGAGGCAGCAGUGGGGAAUAUUGCACAAUGGGCGAAAGCCUGAUGCAGCAACGCCGCGUGAGCGAUGAAGGCCUUUGGGUCGUAAAGCUCUGUCCUUGGGGAAGAAAAAAAUGACGGUACCCUUGGAGGAAGCCCCGGCUAACUACGUGCCAGCAGCCGCGGUA